UACGUAGGGGGCGAGCGUUGCCCGGAAUUAUUGGGCGUAAAGAGCUCGUAGGCGGUGUGUCACGUCGUUCGUGAAAACCUGCAGCUUAACUGUGGGCUUGCGGUCGAUACGGGCAUCACUGGAGUUCGGCAGGGGAGACUGGAAUUCCUGGUGUAGCGGUGAAAUGCGCAGAUAUCGGGAGGAACACCGGUGGCGAAGGCGGCCUUCUGGACGGAUACUGACGCUGAGACGCGAAAGCGUGGGGAGCAAACAGG
rnacentral:rRNA from 1 species